GUGCUCACUUCGGCAGCACAUAUACUAAAAUUGGAAAGACACAGAGAUUAGCAUGGCUCCUGUGCAAGGACGACACAAAUUUGUGAAGUGUUCCACAUUUUG
rnacentral:snRNA from 1 species